GAAAUGCGAUAAGCAGUGUGAAUUGCAGAAUUCCGAGAAUCAUCGAAUCUUUGAACUCACAUUGCGGCCUUUGGUAGGUCCAUUGGGCAUGCCUGUUCGAGCGUCAUUUCCCCCCAAUCUCAAGCACUGCUUGGUGAUGGGCGCUUGUCCCGCCCUGCUGCGCGCGGACGCGCCUCACAACCAUUGGCGGCCGGCAUCCGUUUUUCGCACGCAGUAUACCGCGCGAUUGGAAUUACGAAGCCCGGCGUCCACAAAAAGGACCCCCAAGAUUGACCCCGGAUCAGGUAGGGAUACCCGCUGAACUUCA
rnacentral:misc_RNA from 1 species